CAGCCGCCGCGGUAAUACAGAGGAUGCAAGCGUUAUCCGGAAUGAUUGGGCGUAAAGCGUCUGUAGGUGGCUUUUCAAGUCCGCCGUCAAAUCCCAGGGCUCAACCCUGGACAGGCGGUGGAAACUACCAAGCUAGAGUACGGUAGGGGCAGAGGGAAUUUCCGGUGGAGCGGUGAAAUGCGCUGAGAUCGAAAAGAACACCAACGGCGAAAGCACUCUGCUGGGCCGACACUGACACUGAGAGACGAAAGCUAGGGGAGCAAAUGGGAUUAGAUACCCCCGUAGUCCCUGUCUCUUAUAA
rnacentral:rRNA from 1 species